GAAUAACACUUUGAGAGUUCAAGACCAUCCUUUAACUUAAAGCUAGACUGUGGGAUUCUUAACAACAUACUAUAAUCUUCUCCCCCAAGAAUGUCAGAAUUUAAAUAGUAUCUCUGAGGGAACUCUUCAUGGGAGCUUUUAGUCUAAAUUUCUUGGUCUCUAAAAGAAAAAUAAAUAAAUGUACAGCAAUCAAAGUAUCUGAUUGUUGCCACCCCUUGAGGGGAAAAAAGGGUGUGGAUGUUGGUGUGUGUGUGUGUGUGUGUGUGUGUGUGUGUGUGUGUGUCUGUGUGACAUGGAAGAUAAAUCAUGACUAUGGAUUUUAAACUGGAAAUAACAAAAGGUUCAUGAAAAAGACUGACUAGGCUCAAAGAGAAAGACUUCAAGAAUAGUUUGCUCUGUUUUGCUUUUUAGCAGUCAUUCUCCUGAUAGAGAAAACACACACACACACCAUAUACAUAAAAACCCCUUGUCAUAGCAAGUAAGGCAAGGACAGCAUCAAGGUUUAUUUGUUGAAAUAAAUGCUGAGAAGGUGUGGAGAAAAGGGAAUCCUCCUACACUGUUGGUGGGAAUAUAAUUUUGGUACAGCCAGUAUGGAGAACACUAUGGAGGUUCCUUAAAAAACUAAAAAUAGAACCAUCAUAUGAUCUAGCAAUCCAACUCCUGGGCAUAUGUCUAGAAAAUAGCAAUUCAAAAACAUACAUGCACCCCAAUGUUCAUAGCAGCACUACUUAACACAGCCAUGACAUGGAAGCAACCUAAAUAUCCAAUCAACAGAGGAAUGGAUAAAGAAAAUAGGGUACAUAUAUGCAAUGGAGUAUUAUUCAGCCAUAAAAAGGAAUGAAAGAAUGCCAUUUGAAGCAACAUGGAUGGACCUAAAGAUUAUCAUACUAAGUGAAGUCAAAGGCAAACAGCCUAUGAUAUGGCUUGCAUGUGGUAUCUAAGAAAAUGAUACAUAUGAACUUACUUGUGAAAGAGAAAUAGACUCACACACAUAAAAAACAAAUGUAUGGUGACCAAAGGGAAAAGGUGGUGGUAGUGGGUAUAAAUUAGGAGUUUGAGAUUAACAUAUACACACUCCUACAUCAAAACAGAUAAUCAACAAGGACUCACUAAAUGGCAAGGGAACUCAAUAUUCUGCAUAUGAGAAAAAAAUCAGAAAAAGAAUGGAUAUAUAUAUGCACGACUGAAUCACUCUGCUGUACACCUGAAACUCACAACACUGUAAAUCAACUAUACUCCAGUGUAAGUUUUUUUUUAAAAAGUUUAUUUGAUGAGAAGUCAUGAUGCAUUUAGGAACUAUGGACACUCCACUGUUUUAGCCCCCUUCCCUCACCUACUUUUCAUUCCUCCAAGGGCUGGCACAGGCGCUGCCCAUGUAGAGCCAUCCUGGGUUGCCCUAAGUAAGGUUACAUGUUUUGUCCUUGGUACCACUGCUGACCCUGGUACACAUCUUGAUUAUAGCAGGAAUCACAGAUGACUGCAACUAUCUCUUCCCCAUCUCCUUCCUAGAUAGCAAGGUACUGGAGGUCAAGGACCACGGCACCUAGCAGAGUGCCUGGAAGAGAGGGUACAAUCAAUAUUUUUAUAACAGAUGACUGAGGGAGUCUCAAAGUGCCAAAGAAGAAAAAGCCACGAGGGCCACAUAAACCACUAAGCAUUACGUUUCAGUCUUCGAGAAAUUUACCUUCCAGUUGUGGAGGUAAAUAAUGCAACGAUAAUGAACAACAGAAAUACAAGGCGAAUGCUAAUUGUGUGGAACAGAAACAUAAGGGAUAUGAGCAUUCAUUGGUGGGCACUUUGGGCUAAAGGGAUCAAGAAUAGCUUUGAUUUUGUGACGGAUUUGGAAGGAGGUGGAGCUGCUGAGGAGGAUAGUCUAGUAUUGGGGGAGGGGAGAGGAAUGAUCGGAGCAAAAGCCGAGGAGGAAAGUCUAAGGCUUGCUGGAACAAUACAAAAUCCUCCCCUCCUGAACACCUGCUCUCCUCCUCCUGCCACUGCCUUCCACCUAAUCAUUCAGCUCAAGUCCAAGAGUCAUCUUGGACGCCUCUCUGCCUGCUGGAAGCCUUCAGCCUCUGAGACCUUAUAGAUGCUGCCUCUUCUACAAGCUCUCAGACCCACUCCUCU
rnacentral:lncRNA from 1 species